GAAAAUCCGUUGACUUUAAA
rnacentral:tRNA from 1 species